AGACUGCCCACCCCAACUCACGCCCUGACCAUACUAAAACAAAGACAAAACAAAGGAACUAAGGUCAGAACGUGUCAGGUAUACUUCAGUAUGAGUCCAGGAACAGUUAUGACUUGGGCGACUAUGCCGUCUCGUGGUGGCUGGGUCGGAAUGCUCUCCACAUGGCCAUCACCUCCAUUGUCGUCAGCCUCCUCAUCAUCGCCAUAUUCCUCAUAACUUCACCACGUAUAACUUUUAGCAGAAUUACGCUGGAGAAAGCUAAACUAAGAUCAAAGACCCAGACACCUCUCUGAGUGGACUAGAACGAAGGUUCUACAGCGCCAGAUUUGGCAGUAAUCUUCACCCACAAAGAAUGGGACUCCACCCAAUCACAUGCUCUCCACACUCUGCUAUACCUUCCAUCUGGGAGAAGAACUUAAGAAGCAAGACUAUCCUUUGAAUGACUCUGUAUGGAACACUGGCCUCUGUAUCCUAUGAUACCUACAGCACAAACCUCAUACAACACCAUGUGCACACGCACCCACACACACACACACACACACACACACACACACACACACACACACACACACACACACACACACACACACACACACACACACACACACACACACACACACACACACACACACACACA